rnacentral:rRNA from 1 species
UACGUAGGGUGCGAGCGUUAAUCGGAAUUACUGGGCGUAAAGCGUACGCAGGCGGUUCGCCAAGUCAGGUGUGAAAUCCCCGGGCUUAACCUGGGAAUUGCGCUUGAAACUAGCGGGCUUGAGUGCGGCAGAGGGGGGUGGAAUUCCACGUGUAGCAGUGAAAUGCGUAGAGAUGUGGAGGAACACCGAUGGCGAAGGCAGCCCCCUGGGUCGACACUGACGCUCAUGCACGAAAGCGUGGGGAGCAAACAGG